UUUCACAUGAUAAAUAGAACAGCCAUAUAAAUCAGAACAGAAAUAAUCACAACAUGUUAAAAUCUAGUUAUUAUCAUACGUUGGUACAAGCAACAGAGGUAGCUGGCUGUUUAGUUUCACAAAUAGAAGGAAUUCGAUAUAACUAUCAUUUCUUUGCUUGUGAAAUAUUCUUUGGUUCUUUAAUUUAAGUUAGCUGAUCCCAAUCUGAUUAAUGCAGAAACUAUUUUUCCAAAUCUCUUUUGCUCCAUGCUAACAAAGUUGUACCAUAAGCAGAGUGUCCGGUUGCCGUUCAAGGUGCCAGUAAGGAUCUGUGAUACAUGCCCCAAGUAAAAUGCUUGCACCCCUCCCCCAACAUUCAAGCCAUCACAAGAAGUUCAGAGGUCCAGUUGGUCUCCUCCAGGCUCUAACCCUCUCCCUGUUAGCUUUCCAGAGGUCCCUGGUGUUUAUAAGUCUCUUUGGGGGAAUUCCUUCCCAGCUUGGACCUUUCUUAAUGCACAGACUGCAGUCUAGGAGCCAGCCUUCUUCCGGAACAUAUCUAUCCACAGAAGACAAACUGUACAAGAGAAACCUCCACCAUCCAGGCUUCUGCUGUGCAGGUGUGUGGUGGUCUGCUGCUUAG
rnacentral:lncRNA from 1 species